UCUCUCUUCUCUCCGAGCUCUCUCGGCCGUUUGCGACGCAGAUCGAUCCGAUCCGAUCCGAUCCGAUCUGCCGCGGCUUCUUUGCCGAUCUCCCGUGGGCCUGACAAUAUACCAUAGACAUAGACCAAAUUCAACGGUCGUAUUCAAAUUUCUCCGAUUUGACCCCGCUGUGUUCCCUCGUUCGCGCUAGAUAACCGACUUGCCGGAAAUUUAUGCGGUCGAUUCGUUUGUUUACUCUGUUCCUGUGAUCUCGGCGACGAGAUACAGCCACUUUGGUAAAUCGUUUUUGUACUUUUUUUCAUUUUAUUUAGUCGAAGCUUUCUAAUCUCUAUCUUUACGGCCAAUGUUUUUUCGUGAAUUAACUAGCUAGAAUCGUGUAUCGCUAAUUUGCACUCUUUUCCUUUUUUUUCAAGCGACGAGACUGCGUCCGACGGAUUGCGACAGAUACAUCCGGAAAUGAUGAUAAUACUGAGUAACAGUUGAAACACGGAAAUUCAGGAGAUUCGUCCGAUGAUUUUGAGAAACCGGAAUCAAGAGGAAAUCUACCGGCAGCUGGGGCAAAAAUAGGUCAACGCUGGAGCACAAAAAGUGUCACAAUUUUUUUCUUUUUUGUAAAACUAACGAAGAGGGUAUCGAGACUCGAAACCAAAGAAAGUCAGUUCAUCGGAUAAAUUUACCAUGAAAGUAUUAUUUAUACGAGGCAUUUCGGGAUGGUGCUAUCGUUGUGUAAACGCGAGAUGCCAUUGGUCCACGGGAUCCAGGCAACAGAUCCUCGAUCUCAAGAUCGCCGGAAGAGGCUCGGCGGCCGGAGCAUCGCCUACCGUUAAUAUAGUACACGUUAAUAGAAAAUUGGCGACACCGGUUUCUCCGGAAAGGGGUGUCGCAGGUUCCGCUACUAAAAUACCAUAGAAACCUGUGUUCCUCUGAGGAUUAAAUAAAUACGCUAUUUACCGUG